rnacentral:rRNA from 1 species
GUAAAAGGGUUCAGGAAUAAGGGCUGGGUAAGACCGGUGCCAGCCGCCGCGGUAACACCGGCAGCUCUAGUGAUGGCCGAUAUUAUUGGGCUAAAGCGUCCGUAGCUCGCCGUGAAAGUCCACCGGGAAAUCCACCCGCUUAACGGGUGGGCGUCCGGUGGAAACUCACGGCUUGGGACCGGAGGACCCGAGGGGUACGUCGGGGGUAGGAGUGAAAUCCUGAGAUCCUCGACGGACCGCCGGUGGCGAUAGCGCCUCGGGAGGACGGAUCCGACAGUCAGGGACGAAAGCUUGGGUCUCGAACCGGAUUAGAUACCCGGGUAGUCCAAGCCGUAAACGAUGUUCGCUAGGUGUGGCGUAGGCUACGAGCCUGCGCUGUGCCAAAGGGAAGCCGCGAAGCGAACCGCCUGGGAAGUACGUCCGCAAGGAUGAAACUUAAAGGAAUUGGCGGGGGAGCACUACAACGGGAGGAGCCUGCGGUUUAAUUGGACUCAACGCCGGACAUCUCACCGGCCCCGACUCUGGGAGUGAAGGUCAGCUUGACGAGCUUACUGGACCCAGAGAGAGGUGGUGCAUGGCCGCCGUCAGCUCGUACCGUGAGGCGUCCUGUUAAGUUAGGCAACGAGCGAGACCCGUGCUUCUAGUUGCCAGCAGCAUCUUACGAUGGCUGGGUACACUAGGAGGACUGCCUUCGCUAAGAAGGAGGAAGGAGCGGGCAACGGUAGGUCAGUAUGCCCCGAAUGGGCCGGGCAACACGCGGGCUACAAUGGCACGGACAGCGGGAUGCGACUCCGAGAGGAGAAGCUAAUCCCACAAACCGUGUCGUAGUUCGGAUUGAGGACUGAAACUCGUCCUCAUGAAGCUGGAUUCCGUAGUAAUCGCGUUUCAUAAAAGCGCGGUGAAUACGUCCCUGCUCCUUGCACACACCGCCCGUCAAACCACCCGAGUGAGGUUCGGAUGAAGCCGUGCAUCAGCGCGGUGAAUC